rnacentral:rRNA from 1 species
CCUACGGGGUGCUGCAGUGGGGAAUAUUGGACAAUGGGCGAAAGCCUGAUCCAGCCAUGCCGCGUGUGUGAAGAAGGCCUUCGGGUUGUAAAGCACUUUCAGUGGGGAAGAAAGCCUUGGGGCUAAUACCCUCGAGGAAGGACAUCACCCACAGAAGAAGCACCGGCUAACUCCGUGCCAGCAGCCGCGGUAAUACGGAGGGUGCGAGCGUUAAUCGGAAUUACUGGGCGUAAAGCGCGCGUAGGCGGUCUGAUAAGCCGGUUGUGAAAGCCCCGGGCUCAACCUGGGAACGGCAUCCGGAACUGUCAGGCUAGAGUGCAGGAGAGGAAGGUAGAAUUCCCGGUGUAGCGGUGAAAUGCGUAGAGAUCGGGAGGAAUACCAGUGGCGAAGGCGGCCUUCUGGACUGACACUGACGCUGAGGUGCGAAAGCGUGGGUAGCAAACAGGAUUAGAUACCCCAGUAGUC